rnacentral:snoRNA from 1 species
CCCAAGACUAGAGUCACAUCCUGACACAGCUACUUGUCUUAGUGUACUAGAGCUCUUGAAGAGGAUCUGCUGGUCUUGGUUCACCUCUCUUGGUGCCCAAAUAAGAAACAUCC